rnacentral:pre_miRNA from 13 species
UAAUCUGUUUAGAACAGAUCCUCAUUUAGUUAUGACAAACUCACACCUAACUACGUAAAAUUACUUGUUAUCACAAGAUCAACUACAUCAUUGACAUUGAAAAACAAAGGACAACUAUUGUAUGAAUAAUAAUUUUUUGAAA